rnacentral:tRNA from 1 species
GCACCCUUAGUUCAAUUGGAUAGAGCAAGUGCCUUCUAAGCACUGAGUUACAGGUUCGAGUCCUGUAGGGUGUGCCA